rnacentral:rRNA from 1 species
GAUGAACGCUGGCGGCGUGCCUAAUACAUGCAAGUCGAGCGAACAGACGAGGAACUUGCUCCUCUGACGUUAGCGGCGGACGGGUGCGUAACACGUGGAUAACCUACCUAUAAGACUGGGAUAACUUCGGGAAACCGGAGCUAAUACCGGAUAAUAUAUUGAACCGCAUGGUUCAAUAGUGAAAGACGGUUUUGCUGUCACUUAUAGAUGGAUCCGCGCCGCAUUAGCUAGUUGGUAAGGUAACGGCUUACCAAGGCAACGAUGCGUAGCCGACCUGAGAGGGUGAUCGGCCACACUGGAACUGAGACACGGUCCAGACUCCUACGGGAGGCAGCAGUAGGGAAUCUUCCGCAAUGGGCGAAAGCCUGACGGAGCAACGCCGCGUGAGUGAUGAAGGUCUUCGGAUCGUAAAACUCUGUUAUUAGGGAAGAACAAAUGUGUAAGUAACUAUGCACGUCUUGACGGUACCUAAUCAGAAAGCCACGGCUAACUACGUG